rnacentral:tRNA from 1 species
GGAGGUGGCUCAAGUGGUAGCGCGCUCCCUGGCAUGCGUGCGGCCUGGGUUCGAUCCACAGCACCA